GCUAAAUUCCCAGCAUCAGGACAAGAUGCCUCUCCUCAUCGAAAUGGAAUCUAUCACACUGGGAUUUCAACAAAUUUGCCAGAUGGACAGCAACCUGCAAACCAUCAGACCAGCCCCAACACCCAUCACCAUAUCAGUCCCAAUCCAAACCAAGGAAAAACAUGGUUCCUGACUUCAUGGAAGGCACAUCCAUCAGAGAAGACAGACACUAAACAAGUAAACAGGUUUUCUCUGGCACCCGGAACCCAGGACUUCACUCUGGCCGCAGCGGAGAAGUCAAGCCUCUUCAGUUUUCAGUCAUCUUCAGUCUUCAGACUUCACUUGGACUGGAGCCUUCAGUCUUUGCCUUGCACCUGUGUAUGCA